AUUGAACGCUGGCGGCAGGCCUAACACAUGCAAGUCGAGCGGUAGAGAGGUGCUUGCAUCUCUUGAGAGCGGCGGACGGGUGAGUAAUGCCUAGGAAUCUGCCUAGUGGUGGGGGAUAACGUUCGGAAACGGACGCUAAUACCGCAUACGUCCUACGGGAGAAAGCGGGGGAUCUUCGGACCUCGCGCCAUUAGAUGAGCCUAGGUCGGAUUAGCUAGUUGGUGAGGUAAUGGCUCACCAAGGCGACGAUCCGUAACUGGUCUGAGAGGAUGAUCAGUCACACUGGAACUGAGACACGGUCCAGACUCCUACGGGAGGCAGCAGUGGGGAAUAUUGGACAAUGGCGAAAGCCUGAUCCAGCCAUGCCGCGUGUGUGAAGAAGGUCUUCGGAUUGUAAAGCACUUUAAGUUGGGAGGAAGGGUAGUAACCUAAUACGUGAUUGUUUUGACGUUACCGACAGAAUAAGACACCGGCU
rnacentral:rRNA from 1 species